UAACGGCCGCGGUACCCUAACCGUGCGAAGGUAGCAUAAUCACUUGUUCUUUAAAUAGGGACUAGUAUCAACGGCAUCACGAGGGUUACACUGUCUCCUUUCUCCAAUCAGUGAAACUGAUCUCCCCGUGAAGAAGCGAGGAUAUAACUAUUAGACGAGAAGACCCCAUGGAGCUUUAAGCUCAACAACAAUUUUUAUGAAAAUAAUUCCUCAUAGUACACAAACCCUGUUUGUUAGCUUUAGGUUGGGGUGACCGCGGAGUAUAAUUUAACCUCCACAACGAAAAGGCAUAAAACCCUUAUCCAAGAGCCACUGCUCUAAGAAUCACUAAAUUGACGUAUAAUGAUCCGAUUUUCGAUCAACGGACUAAGUUACCCUGGGGAUAACAGCGCAAUCCAUUUUUAGAGCCCCUAUCGACAAA
rnacentral:rRNA from 1 species